GUCCCUGUAGAGCAGUGGAUAGCGCGUUGGACUUCUAAUCCAAAGGUUCCGGCUUCGAAUCCCGGCUGUGAUG
rnacentral:tRNA from 13 species